GGUGUUGUAGCUCAGUGGCAGAGUGCUUAUCUCACAUAUGUGAGGCAUUGGGUUUGAUCCUCAGCACCA
rnacentral:tRNA from 1 species